CUCAGAACGAACGCUGGCGGCAGGCUUAACACAUGCAAGUCGAACGCCCCGCAAGGGGAGUGGCAGACGGGUGAGUAACGCGUGGGAAUCUACCUAGUUCUACGGAACAACAGUUGGAAACGACUGCUAAUACCGUAUACGCCCUAAGGGGGAAAGAUUUAUCGGAAUUAGAUGAGCCCGCGUAAGAUUAGCUAGUUGGUGGGGUAAUGGCCUACCAAGGCGACGAUCUUUAGCUGGUCUGAGAGGAUGAUCAGCCACACUGGGACUGAGACACGGCCCAGACUCCUACGGGAGGCAGCAGUGGGGAAUAUUGGACAAUGGGCGCAAGCCUGAUCCAGCCAUGCCGCGUGAGUGAUGAAGGCCUUAGGGUUGUAAAGCUCUUUCAGUGGGGAAGAUAA
rnacentral:rRNA from 1 species